rnacentral:rRNA from 1 species
AUUGAACGCUGGCGGCAUGCCUUACGCAUGCAAGUCGAACGGCAGCAUAGGAGCUUGCUCCUGAUGGCGAGUGGCGAACGGGUGAGUAAUAUAUCGGAACGUGCCCUAGAGUGGGGGAUAACUAGUCGAAAGACUAGCUAAUACCGCAUACGAUCUACGGAUGAAAGUGGGGGAUCGCAAGACCUCAUGCUCCUGGAGCGGCCGAUAUCUGAUUAGCUAGUUGGUGGGGUAAAAGCCUACCAAGGCAACGAUCAGUAGCUGGUCUGAGAGGACGACCAGCCACACUGGGACUGAGACACGGCCCAGACUCCUACGGGAGGCAGCAGUGGGGAAUUUUGGACAAUGGGGGCAACCCUGAUCCAGCAAUGCCGCGUGAGUGAAGAAGGCCUUCGGGUUGUAAAGCUCUUUUGUCAGGGAAGAAACGGUUCUGGAUAAUACCCAGAGCUAAUGACGGUACCUGAAGAAUAAGCACCGGCUAACUACGUGCCAGCCGCCGCGGUAAAAC